rnacentral:lncRNA from 1 species
AGACACAUUCUGCCGCAAGGCAGAGUCUUUUCUUCUUAACCAUUCUACACAUUCCCACAACAAAAACACAAUUCCAUGCACCUUCAUUUCCCUUUCCUUGCCGUGACCUCCAUCCAACCUAAACACAUUUAGCCAUUCCCUUCCAUAUAUCCAUAUGCAUCCAUCAAACCACACCUUGUGCCGCAACAAAGAGAAAAAGGAGAACCCUUGGACGUGCUUGUCAUUCAAGUUGGAUUGUUGGAGCGUUUUUAGCUGUUUUCAUUCUUUUAUUUUCAAUGUCUAAAUUUUUUUAUCUUUGCUUUGUGAGUAUGAGGAACAAAAUCCCCCUUAGCUAAG